ACCUCGGCUCUACACCAAAAGUCUAAUGCCUACAUGUUUGUGACAAGAGCUUGAGCUUAAAACCUGAAGCUUCAGUUCCAGCUUUGCUGAAGACUUGCUGCACAGUCAUCAGUCACACAGUUCUUCCCUACUGAAUGUUUCAGUCCCCAGAAGGAUGCUUUCACACAAUGAUGAAGGGCUCAAUCUGGAAAUACCAUUACUAGCCUCCAUCCAGGUUUGUAUACUGAGGAAAGCAGA